CUUUCUUUCUUUUUUUUUUUUUUUGAAGGAAAGUUCAGUCAACUGAGACUUUCUUUUUCAGAAAGCUCUGCUUUGCAUAAAGCAGCUACAUCAUAAGAGGAAAAAAAAGAUGGGAAGGAAAGCACCAGCCAUGGUUUGGGAGAGAAAUCAAGCAAUUUCUGAAUAGUUUCUUUGCUAGAUGCUGCAUGUGACUUCUCCCAUCAACAAAUUCCUAAACUUGGCUUUGAACCUGCUCUUGUGAGAUUGUUCAAUACAUUGAUCAUCAACAUCUCUGCUGUUUCAGUUGCUUCUGCACAGUGAUGCCAUUCAGCUGCCGAGGGGCAGAAAAAAGAGUGGAAAAUUGCCACAUCCCUAAUUGUGUUCUUUCCUUUUACGUCGACAGAAUAACAGAAAGACAGUGCCAGUUUUGCCACUUGUCUUAUGGUCAGAAUUACAAAAUUUAAUGGAUCUUUCUAUGUAUUUGAAAACCUCAUACAAAAUUCCAUGGGAAUCCACAAUCAUUCUCAUAUGAGAUUUUAUCCGUAAGUACCUAAUCCCAUUUCACUAUAUCAAAACUAAACAUUUUCUGUAUCUCUCAAAUCUUCAAAAGUCUUGUGAAUCAUCAUGAGUAAUUUUUAAGACUGAGUUAGCUGGAACUGAAUUCAGAAGAUCCAGUGAGUGGGGAGGCUUGACUCAUUGAUUUUUAAUACGUUUGAAUUGGGAAAAACUUUGAGGAAUUAGAAAAGUAAAGAGCAGAGUCCAUGAAUUCUUGGGAACUAGGCCUCUAGCUUUUUGGUGGUGGUUUUGUUUUUACAAUGUGUCUGAGAACUUUAAGUUUUACUAUUAAUAUAUUUUAAAUAAUAUUUGCCCCAGAUCUUGACUUUCCUUGCACAAUAUGCUGGACUGCCUAUGGGCAACUUGAUACCAUUUCCCAUCUUUGCACUAUCAGUGGUGUGGGGAUUUUGAGGCAUAAGAACAAAUUUCUUAGAAUCUCUGUCAGAAGAAUUCUGCUUUACAUUCCACCAGGGAAAGAC
rnacentral:lncRNA from 1 species